ensembl:lncRNA
UGCAAUUAAUCGCGAUGAAUCGUUUGACAGCACUAAUUUUAAAGUCAUAAAUUUUUAGAAUUUUUAAAAAAUGCAAUAGCCCUAAACAGAUCUUUUUUGUAAUUUAUAUGAUCAACUUUGUGGGAUUCACCAUAAGAUGCUUUGGAAGUAAAUAAAGGAAGGAAACUACUUGACUCACCGCAUUUUGAAGUAGUACGCACCAACAAGUAAAAUUAGUACAAUAGCAAUAAAGCCAAUUACGAUGGCAACGACACUUCCUAGAAAGGAAUAAGGAAAAUAUAUAGUUCAAUGAAUCAUACAUGACAUAUACAGAAGUCACAGUAUACUAAAAAGGCAAAUCAAACUGCAGCCGAGUGAAAAAGCUGUUCUUUUCACAUACAGUGGCCCAAAAAAUAAAUAAGACAUGCUUAAAGAUGUCAAUGUCACUGCAUUAACAAAAUAUCAAACAAGGUGUAGUUAAUUUUGAAGAAAAUAUAUCAUAAAUCUUUCAGUUAAAAAUGAUUGUACCACUUUGUGGUUGUCACAUGCUAGUGAAUUAUAUAGUGAACUUGAGGAGAAAUAACUUCACACAUCCAAUGAAACAACACCAUUUAACUAAACUCCACUGAGCAAAAAUGAGUUCUGAGAAAAGCUCUAACAUAUUGUUUGCAGAUGACACUUGUUAUUCAGUGCUAAGACAUUCAGACAGUUUUAAGCGUGGCUCAAGUGUCCAGAUGGCACUAUCACAUUCAGCCACAGCUAUUCUCAUUCAAAUUCCAAUACAUCCCAGACAGUGACACUUAGCAGUCACUGAACAUAAUUCAUCAACACGGUACAACGUGCAAACAUCAUAGAUGCUUAUGAAAAGGGUGAGGAACAAUUUAACCUUUACAGGAAAAGGCUAGUGAAAUGUUAAUGGUUCAAUCACUCAGUUACUGUAUUAAAUAUUAACACUCCUGAAGUGUUUGGGAGUCAGUGCUUUGGAUGUGUACAAAAUAACAAAUCCAGUUGUUGAAAACACUAACCUGUUGUCACCCUUCUCUGACCUUGAUUGAUACCCAACUAUACCUUUGCAUAGUUUUAUUACAGGCUUUUAGGUUGUAAUUUUAUGAUUUUCAGCUAAUGAAUUUCAUGCUAGACAUUUCAGCUUAAAGCUACGUUUUGGAAAAUACUGAAGUGGUUAACCUCAAUAAAAUAGGUUGUAUAAAGUGGCCAAAUUUACCAGAACUGACCCCGUUUAUAUAACCAUACAGGCAACAAUACAUAAAGCCUCAUAAGGAAAUGUAAUAUACACCUUGACCUGCUUAAGAUCUGGAGCAGAAUGUCAAAUAACAAUCAAAAGGUUAUGCUUAUCUAACCUACAUGCAAACAGGCCAACAGUGGCAUGAAACAUAGUCUAUAUUAAAAUAUGAAUAUUCUUUGAAAUAAAAUGAAAUAUUUAAAAAGCACCUAUACCUGAGCUCAGAUGAUCCUUCUUUUCAUGGUCAGCAGAGCCCGGGGGUUUGGUUGUUACUGGUUUUGUGGUGGUUGUUGUUGUUUUUGUUGUUCUUGUUGCUGCUGUUGAUUUUUUUGUUGGUGAUGUUAACACAGAAGUAGUGGGCACCGUUUUAGUCGUAGAAAUGAUUGGUGUAGUUGUGCUUUUGGCAGCAGUAACCACCGGUUUUGUGCUUCCCAGAGUUGUGUUCUCUGAGGUAUGGUUCUCUGAGGAGGGUGUUGUCAGAGUUUCAUUCACCAAACCCGAUGUGACUGGGGUCGACGCGUUGGUCGACGCGCUGGUCGACGCGUUGGUCGCGUUGUGGGCCGCGCUGGUGAGCACAGUCGCUGCAGAGGUAGCGUUAUAGUCAGAGGUUGUAUUUGAUGUUGUCUGGGCAGGUGUGGAGCUGUUCGUAGUGCUCAUGCUCACAUUGUGCGGGGACUCAGUCGUGGUUUGAUUUGUGUUGUGGAUCGUGGAGACAGAUUCAUUAGUUGAUUGCGUCUGAGAGGAAUCUGCUGAUGGUGUGUGUGUUAGUGAAGUCGCUACAUCUGAGGUAAAUGUAGUCGCAACUGUAGUUCCUGUUGUUGCAUUGCUCUCUGUGCUGCCUCCAGACAUCAUCCAGCCUGUCACACACACACACACACACACACACACA